rnacentral:lncRNA from 1 species
UUUAACUUGUGUUUGUUUUGCAAAAAAGAAUUGCAAGCGUACCCGCUUUUCGGAUAACUUCAGCAUACAUGACUGAAGUAGCAAAUGCAAUCACGCAAAACUUCAGCAUUCUAGUAGACGGGCCUGAAGGAAUAAGUGUGCUGAAGUUUUUGUUUGUAAUUGCUGAAUUUAAGCAUAGUAGCCGAAGUUUUGUUCUCUAUUUGCUGAAGUUUUUGUUUUUUAACAGUUUUUGUUGUGUAACUGGCAAAUUUUAGCUCUAGAGCGGAAGUUUUUGUUUUGUAACUGGCGAACUUCAGCACUAGAGCUGAAGUUUUAUUUUUGUAAAUGGCGAACUUCAGCUCUAGAGCUGAAAAUUUUAUUUUGUAACUAGUGGAGCUGAAGUUUUUGUUUUUGUAACUAGCAAAGUUUUGCUCUAGAGCUGAAGUUUUUGU